GCAUCGACCAGAGGGAAAAGGAGCAAUCCGCUUUGAGAUGGCCUCGCGUCCGAUUAGCUAGUUGGUGAGGUAAUGGCCCACCAAGGCAACGAUCGGUAGCCGGACUGAGAGGUUGAACGGCCACAUUGGGACUGAGACACGGCCCAGACUCCUACGGGAGGCAGCAGUGGGGAAUAUUGCACAAUGGGGGAAACCCUGAUGCAGCGACGCCGCGUGGAGGAAGAAGGUCUUCGGAUUGUAAACUCCUGUUGUUGAGGAAGAUAAUGACGGUACUCAACAAGGAAGUGACGGCUAACUACGUGCCAGCAGCCGCGGUAAAACGUAGGUCACAAGCGUUGUCCGGAAUUACUGGGUGUAAAGGGAGCGCAGGCGGGAAGACAAGUUGGAAGUGAAAUCUAUGGGCUCAACCCAUAAACUGCUUUCAAAACUGUUUUUCUUGAGUAGUGCAGAGGUAGGCGGAAUUCCCGGUGUAGCGGUGGAAUGCGUAGAUAUCGGGAGGAACACCAGUGGCGAAGGCGGCCUACUGGGCACCAACUGACGCUGAGGCUCGAAAGUGUGGGUAGCAAACAGGAUUAGAUACCCUGGUAGUCCACACCGUAAACGAUGAUUACUAGGUGUUGG
rnacentral:rRNA from 1 species